CGGACAGGAGGUUAGGCAUUAAAAUACAAGACGGGAGAGCUUAGGCAUCCAAGAGGAGAGAGGAGAACGAAGAAGAAAAAGAAGACAGAGAACGAAAGAGAAGGUAAGUUGAAAUCUGGGAGGAAUUCUCUCUCUCCUCUCAGGUGGACGAAAAGAAUGCAGGCCUUUGCUAGAAUGACGCUUCCGGUUCGCAGGGUUUGGAGCGGUGUCUCCGCCCGCAUCGGCGUUCGUAAAAGAGGGCAUAUGAAGCUUGGGAAGGACG